rnacentral:rRNA from 1 species
UGGGGAAUAUUGCACAAUGGGCGCAAGCCUGAUGCAGCCAUGCCGCGUGUGUGAAGAAGGCCUUCGGGUUGUAAAGCACUUUCAGCGGGGAGGAAGGCGGUGAGGUUAAUAACCUUAUCAAUUGACGUUACCGACAGAAGAAGCACCGGCUAACUCCGUGCCAGCAGCCGCGGUAAUACGGAGGGUGCAAGCGUUAAUCGGAAUUACUGGGCGUAAAGCGCACGCAGGCGGUUGAUUGAGUCAGAUGUGAAAUCCCCGGGCUUAACCCGGGAAUUGCAUCUGAUACUGGUCAGCUAGAGUCUUGUAGAGGGGGGUAGAAUUCCAUGUGUAGCGGUGAAAUGCGUAGAGAUGUGGAGGAAUACCGGUGGCGAAGGCGGCCCCCUGGACAAAGACUGACGCUCAGGUGCGAAAGCGUGGGGAGCAAACAGG